AGAGUUAAAUAGUACGUGAAAUUGUUGAAAGGGAAACGAUUGAAGUCAGUCAUGCUUGCAGGGAAUCAACUUGGUGGGUGGUGAGGUUUUUGUCUUGCCUCUUUCCUUGUGCACUUCCUUGCCUGGCAGGUUAGCAUCAAUUUUGGUUGUCAUUAAAGAAUCGGGGGAAUGUGUCUUCUCUUCGGAGGAGUGUUUAUAGACCUUGGUAGAUGUGACGAUUGGGAUUGAGGAUUGCAGCGAAUGCUUCGGCUAGUCACCUGGCUUCUGAUGGUCACCUCGCUUUCGAUAGCUUGUCUGACGGUGGUGAGAUUUGAUUAUCUAGAUGUUAGAAUGAUCAUAAAUUCGCUAAGGAUGCUGACGUAAUGGCUUUAAACGA
rnacentral:misc_RNA from 1 species